UACGUAGGGGGCAAGCGUUGUCCGGAUUUAUUGGGCGUAAAGAGCUCGUAGGUGGUUUGGUAAGUCGGAUGUGAAAUCUCCAGGCUCAACCUGGAGGGGUCAUUCGAUACUGCCAUGACUAGAGGUCGGUAGGGGAGUGUGGAAUUCCUGGUGGAGCGGUGAAAUGCGCAGAUAUCAGGAAGAACACCCGUGGCGAAGGCGGCUCUCUGGGACGGUACUGACGCUGAGGCUCGAAAGCGUGGGGAGCGAUCCGG
rnacentral:rRNA from 1 species